GCCAGCAUGUCAUAGUGGUUUGAGCAUUGAACUACAACUCUGGAGACCAGGGUUCGAUUCCCCGUUUGGCC